UCGAACGAUGAACUCCAGCUUGCUGGGGGGAUUAGUGGCGAACGGGUGAGUAACACGUGAGUAACCUGCCCUUGACUCUGGGAUAAGCGCUGGAAACGGCGUCUAAUACCGGAUACGAGCUUCAGCCGCAUGGCUAGGAGUUGGAAAGAWUUUCGGUCAAGGAUGGACUCGCGGCCUAUCAGCUAGUUGGUGAGGUAAUGGCUCACCAAGGCGACGACGGGUAGCCGGCCUGAGAGGGUGACCGGCCACACUGGGACUGAGACACGGCCCAGACUCCUACGGGAGGCAGCAGUGGGGAAUAUUGCACAAUGGGCGCAAGCCUGAUGCAGCAACGCCGCGUGAGGGACGACGGCCUUCGGGUUGUAAACCUCUUUUAGUAGGGAAGAAGCGAAAGUGACGGUACCUGCAGAAAAAGCACCGGCUAACUACGUGCCAGCAGCCGCGGUAAUACGUAGGGUGCAAGCGUUGUCCGGAAUUAUUGGGCGUAAAGAGCUCGUAGGCGGUUUGUCGCGUCUGCUGUGAAAUCUGGGGGCUCAACCCCCAGCCUGCAGUGGGUACGGGCAGACUAGAGUGCGGUAGGGGAGAUUGGAAUUCCUGGUGUAGCGGUGGAAUGCGCAGAUAUCAGGAGGAACACCGAUGGCGAAGGCAGAUCUCUGGGCCGUAACUGACGCUGAGGAGCGAAAGCAUGGGGAGCGAACAGGAUUAGAUACCCUGGUAGUCCAUGCCGUAAACGUUGGGAACUAGAUGUGGGGACCAUUCCACGGUCUCCGUGUCGCAGCUAACGCAUUAAGUUCCCCGCCU
rnacentral:rRNA from 1 species